rnacentral:rRNA from 1 species
AUUGAACGCUGGCGGCAGGCCUAACACAUGCAAGUCGAGCGAGCGGCGGACGGGUGAGUAAUGUAUGGGGACUGCCCGAUAGAGGGGGAUAACACCUGGAAACGGUGGCUAAUACCGCAUAUUGUCGGAUAACCCAUAUGGGUUUAGCUAGUAGGUAAGGUAAUGGCUUACCUAGGCGACGAUCCCUAGCGGGUCUGAGAGGAUGAGCAGCAACACUGGGACUGAGACACGGCCCAGACUCCUACGGAGGCAGCAGUGGGGAAUAUUGCAAAAUGGGAGCAAGCCUGAUGCAGCCAUGCCGCGUGUAUGAAGAAGGCACUAGGGUUGUAAAGUACUUUCAGUCGGGAGGCGUUACCGACAGAAGAAGCACCGGCUAACUCCGUGCCAGCAGCCGCGGUAAUAC